rnacentral:tRNA from 2 species
GCCCUCGUGGUGCAAUGGAUAGCACGCAAGAUUCCGGUUCUUGAAAUUCGGGUUCGAAUCCUGACGAGGGCG